AACUCAGACUUAAACCAUUGCAUCCACAUUGUGCCCUUAGUCUGCUCAUGAAACUUUUGAUGCAAAGAAACAAAAAACAGAGACUGCAACCAUGAGGGCAUUAGUACACAGAACACUUCACAUUUGGCCAAAAGCUAAGCACAAAAUGUAAAAGUCAUAGUCAACCAAUCUCAUUCUCUAGAAGCAAAGAUUACUUUCUCCUCAGUGGAGGCCCAAUGAAAAGCUCCAUUGAUUUUAGAAUGACGUAUAAAGCAAAUAAAAAUAAAAGAAUACGUCAAACACAAAUACAAGUCAAGCUACAAACUCAGACUUAAACCAUUGCAUCCACAUUGUGCACUUAGUCUGUUUAUGAAACUUAUGAUGCAAAGAAACAAAAAACAGAAACUGCAACCAUGAGGGCAUUCAUACACAGAACGCUUCACUUUCUCAUUUUAUCCUAUGUUUUCGUUCAAAUUUCUGCGCAGAAAGAAGCAGAAGCUCUGCUAAACUGGAAAAGCAGCUUAGUUUCUUCAUCUCUUCCUUCAUGGACUGCCAUUAACAG
rnacentral:lncRNA from 1 species